UUUGCUCUGAAUUGAAGUGACUGCCUCUCUUCAGUACUUCCGGCACCCUUGAGGCCUUCUUUGCUUUUCAGGAAAACACUUCAGAGAGAAGAGGACAGCCAGGAGAGAAGAUUGGUGGUGCCCUAUGGUGAUCUAUGGUGUGCAGAGGGAUAUAGGAAGCAGAGCUUGUUUGGAAACUUUCAGAAGGAACUCUCGUGGAUUCCUGCAGAUCCUCAUUCUACCUUCCCAGCUCUUCAGAAUAACUGCUCCAGGUCUCAAGUUCUCUGUGGUUAAGAUGUAGAGUUUGGGGUGAGAAGUGGAAGGUAAUGAGGUUGGUGGUACAAGUUGUUGGAGCUUAUGUUACCUGAGUCCCUGAAUGACCAUGUGGAGCAGAUUGCCUGCACGUACAUCCUGGCCUUGUUGUGUUAGGUGGGAACAACCUCAUCUGAGAUUUAGGUUGUUUGCUAUUGCAACCUAAUCUAUUCUAUUCUUAUUAAUUCAGAUAAAGAAACUGCAUAACAUAGUUUUGAACAGUAUAGACACAGGAUCCAAGCUGUCUGUUCCGCUCUUGUCUUUUGCAGUUACUAGCUAAGACAGUCAGAAAAAAUUUCUCUGUGUUUCUUAGUUCUCUCAUCUAGCAAAAUGGAGAAAAUAAUAAGUCUAUGUUAUGGGUUUGUUUUGAGGACUAAAGUAAUUAAAAAACAGAAAGCUCAGAAUUGCAUAAAUAGUAAGUUUUGUUUAAGAAAGAAGAGGCUGCGCAAAGCCAGCAAGAGGUUAGGAGAAAAACAGGAGAAAGUGAGCUCACAGGAACAGAAAGAGUGUUUCAAGAGGAGGGAAGCAUUCGCUUGGCAAAUACUGUUGCAGAGUCAAGUAGAUGGAGACACCAGAGCGCCUGUGAGACUUUGUAAUCUGUGGGUCACUGAUGCUCUGAGCAAAAGCAGUGUCAGUGGUGCGUGGGCGUGUGUGCAAAGGAGCAGCUGUGGAAGACACAGUGAUGUGGGUUAAAAUGGAGAAAGCAUCUGUUUCCAUGCCCUUGGGGCAGCUUGGCUGAGAAUGGAGAAUACAGAGAUGAGGUGAUUAUUAGAAGUGGAUAUAAGACAGGAAGGUUUUAUUUGAUUUUAUUUAAUUUUUUGGCGGGGAGGAUUGAACCCAGGAGCACUUUAUCACUGAGCCACAUCUGCAGCCCUUUAUUUUAUUUGAAGACAGGGUCUUGAGAAGUUGCCGAGUCUGACCUCAAACUUUAGAUCCUCCUGCCUCAGCGUCCUGAGUUGCUGGGAUUAUGGGGCUGUACCACUGGGAUCCCACCAACACUUUGAUUUUGAGAUGGGAGAUUCUAUGGCAUAUUUAAAGAGUGAAGGGAAAGUUCAAUCAGGGAGGGGAAGUUGAAAAUAAGAAGACAUUAAUCAUGGUCACAUGUCCUGGUAGUGCUUUGAGCAAGUGAGAUCUGGAACACAGGUAGUGGGACUGGCCUCCACCUCCAUUGGACUGGGAACGAGGGAGGGGUGGAGGGAGGAUAGGGCAGGUGCAGAGAAGGUGAUGAAUUUGGGGGCAGGAAAAGGAGGAAGUGCUCUUUGAUAAACAGUGGGACUGACGUGGCUAAGUGGGAGGUGGGAGGCUCUGAGUGAGGGGAAGUGGAAAGCUGUCCCCAGGAGGGAGGCUGAACAAAGGCCCCACUGCCCACGUGGGCUUCCAUUUGGAGGUGCCUGCCACAGCUCUGGAUCUGAAGCUUAUCCAUAAGCUCAAAGCCAGAAUCCUCUCUUCUCUCCAUGAAGAUGUAGGACAUAGUUCUCUGCUAGAACAGGGUCCAGCUAGGGCUUACUAGUGGUGUUUGGUCCUCAGUUGGUAUUUUCAAACUGGUUUCCCACCUCUCCUCCACAUGAGCAUUCCUUUAGAAACUGUUCUGUUCCAACUGUUCUCUCUCUUGAGAUUUUAUUGGGUCCUUUUGAACAGAUCCCCUGCCUCAUGGGACUUUACCCAUCUGGAAUGUUUUCUGCACCAUCUCCUCUCAACUAAAUCCAAAUCACCUUUCUAGGCUAUGCUCAGGCUUUGGUGCAGGGUCUCCAUCCUGUCAUCCCACAGUGACCUCUCCUGCAGUGUUCCCACAUCACUUGGUGUCUACCUCCUCCUACUGAGGA